AAAUCUCACUGGCAGCAGAGAUAUACCAUAAUAAAGAAGGUAUUUCCCAGGGCAAGGCUCCAAGACUCAUCCAUCACCCGAGGCAUGUACUGACCCCUACAAUUCCUGCAAAUUUAGGAAAGUGGAUUGUAUAACUUAUGAUAAUUGGAGCUUAUGUUCGCAUGAGUGCUUC